GACGAACGCUGGCGGCGUGCUUAACACAUGCAAGUCGAACGGUGAAGCGCCUUCCGUUUUGGUGGGUGUGGAUGAGUGGCGAACGGGUGAGUAACACGUUAGUAACCUGCCCCCUUCUUCUGGAUAACCGCAUGAAAGUGUGGCUAAUACGGGAUAUUCUGGGUCUGUCGCAUGAUGGGUCUGGGAAAGAUAUUGUUUCGGUGGGGGAUGGGCUCGCGGCCUAUCAGCUUGUUGGUGGGGUGAUGGCCUACCAAGGCGGUGACGGGUAGCCGGCCUGAGAGGGUGGACGGUCACACUGGGACUGAGACACGGCCAAGACUCCUACGGGAGGCAGCAGUGGGGAAUAUUGCACAAUGGGAGCAAGCCUGCUGCAGCGACGCCGCGGGAGGGAUGGAGGCCUUCGGGUUGUGAACCUCUUUCGCCAGUGAAGCAGGCCUGCCUCGUUUGUGGGUGGGUUGACGGUAGCUGGAUAAGAAGCGCCGGCUAACUACGUG
rnacentral:rRNA from 1 species